ensembl:lncRNA
CCUGCAGCCCGCUGGCUGGGUGCUCUCCACAGGACCCCCCGCCCCCGGCCCCCUGCUGUUCCCAUGAUGCCUCAGUGACUCCUACUAUAUGAUACUAAUCAUACUCUGCUUUUAUAACACAAGGUCUGCUCUGUUUUCAACUACUAAUGUCUUGAGGCAACACCUUUUUUCUACACUACAAUGUUUAAACCCUUCCCGUCUCUCUUGGUUCUGCCAAUAGUCACUUUGUGUGUGUUUGUGCGUGCGUGCGUGUGUGCGUGCACGUGUGUCUGUGUGUGUGAGUGAGUGAGUGAAAAAGCGGAAGGCUUGGAUUGCUGACACUACACAGAUAAAAGCCCACAGGACGUGCACACAAACAAAACGCACAAAAGGCUUUUAAUUUGAAAGAUUUGUAUCCACUCGUUCCUCCGCCUCCUGUAGACGUGGACACGGCAGUCUGUCUGUAUGACUUAACCAGACAAUGAACUACAUUCCAAAGAGUGUGUGUGUGUGUGUGUGUGUGUGUGUGUGUGUGUGGUCAUUUACACAGAAUGUUUUCUCCGUGUUUGAGUAGCUACCAGCGCUCAAACCAAUAGCUUUAAUUUCAGCCUCAUUGCCAAGACACCCAAGUGACAUAAUGCUGUUUAGUUUGAGUCCUUAUUUGGGCCGCUGCCCCUGCCGCGACCUCUGACCCCUCAGUGCACACUAACGAGUGGGCGUGUCUCCUCUGAGGAGGACCUCGUUAGCCACCAGGAGGAGGCCCCAGGGGCGAGGAAGAGCGUUGGUUUGAGAUGUUCAGGUUCGAUACCCAUCGCAGACCGCGGUCUUCAGCUUUCUGUUUAACUGAGAUCUGAGUGUUUCACUACGAGCGUCUGAGUCAUGACUCUAACAACGUGUGUGUGUGUGUGUGUGUGUGUGUGUGUGUGUGUGUGUGUGUCUCUAACUAGCCUACAGAUCUUUUAUAUAAUCACAGUUGAACCACCUCAAUGGGUUCCUCAGAAGAUGUUGAUUGUUGACACAUGUCCUACCAGUCAGCCUGUGGUGAUCCCCCCGUAGACGCCACUGGUCGUACUGGUCGUACUGGUCCUCCAGGGUCGGGGGAGCUGGUACCUCCAGCGUCCUCCAGGCCACCGGCUGGAUGCUGGUCUGUGGGUCCCAGCCAGCACACGCCUUUUAUUUAUUCAGGGUUUUGGAGAAGCUUGUUGCUCCAGGUGGUCCCUGAGGGCCCGGUCCAGGGCCCCGCCGUGAGGGCCCAGUCAAGGGGCCAGGGCCGGGUCCAGGGCCGGGUCCGGGUCCAGGGCCGGGUCCGGGGCCUGGUCCAGGGCCGGGUCCAGGCCGGGUCCAGGGCCGGGUCCAGGUCCGGCUCCGUGUCUGGGUCCAGGGCCUGGUCCAGGGCCGGGUCCAGGGCCGGGUCCAGGGCCUGGUCCGGGGCCGGGUCCGGGGCCUGGUCCGGGGCCGGGUCCGGGGCCGGGUCCAGACUUCUCGUGUCUGUGGAGGCAAGGCCGAGUGGAGCUGAGGAGGAAAGGCUGGGGGUCGUAGUGGAUCCUCCUUCCUGUGGUUGAAGUUGUAGUGUGGCGCUGUGACCUGAGGGGGCGCUGUCCCCUGAGACCAGGGGUCUCCUGUUGGACUCAGGGAGGGGGGGCCGGCUUAUAGUCCACUGACGGUGACUGUUAUCAUCCUGAUCGCUCAGCGUUCCUCUGGUGAGGUUCGUUGCUCCGAUUCAAUGUUCACGGAAUGGCUCGCAGGCUAGGUGGCUCGCAGGCUAGGUGUAACGCAGGCUAGGUGUAACGCAGGCUAGGUGGCUCGCAGGCUAGGUGGCUCGCAGGCUAGGUGGCUCGCAGGCUAGGUGUAAUGCAGGCUAGGUGUCACGCAGGCUAGGUGGCUUGCAGGCUAGGUGGCUUGCAGGCUAGGUGGCUCGCAGGCUAGGUGGCUCGCAGGCUAGGUGGCUCGCAGGCUAGGUGGCUCGCAGGCUAGGUGUAAUGCAGGCUAGGUGCCUCACAGGCUAGGUGGCUAACAGGCUAACCCAGUUGGUGAUGUUCUGGGGCCGCUAGCUCGCAGCGCUAAUAGGCUAACCCAGUUGGGGAUGUUCUGGGGCCGCUAGCUCGCAGCGUUAACAGGCUAACCCAGUAGGGGGUGUUGUGGGGGCGCUAGCUCCCAGCGCUACCACGCUAGGCGGCUAACCCAGUAGGGGGUGUUGUGGGGCCGCUAGCUCUCAGCGCUACCAGGCUAGGCGGCUAACAGGCUAACCCAGCAGGGGGUGUUGUGGGGGAGCUAGCUCUCAGCGCUACCAGGCUAGGCAGCUAAUAGGCUUACCCAGUAGGGGGUGUUGUGGGGCUGCUAGCUCUCAGCGCUACCGGGCUACAUGCUACCCACCUGGAGACUGGAGGGGUUGUAGAGUUCGUUGAGUUCAUUAAAACAAUGCUGGUUAAAUCGUGUGUUUCCCCCCUAGUCACUAUAGAGAUGCUAUCUGUACAUUUGGAGUUAUUUCCAAUUUCAAAACACUCAAAGUGGUUUAUGACUCAUUAAAAAAAGGACAAAAAAAGUCGACGUGCGGGAGGAGAGGGUCACAGCGAUGUGAAGGUCUGUCAGUUUCAUGUUUUACCUGUCGCAUCUUUUUGGACUGGAUAUGAUAAUUAAGAUGUAAGAAUUUUGUAGUAUCAUAUCAAGUGAAUCAUUCUUUGCUAGGCAUAGAGACUGCUUGUGAUUGACAGCUAUGUAUACCUUGUAAAAUAGUAAAGAAAAAAAGGAAAAAAACUAAAAUAGAAUUUGUAAAAAUGAAAAAUCCAGAAAAAAAAAGAAUCAGUAAUCAGUCAGAGGCCAAGGUAAAGGACUCGUUUCUUUGUGUUUUUUAAUUUUAUUUUUUUAAUAGCAACUUAUCACUGUGUGAUAUUUUGUACAUCAUAUUACGCUGUAUUCAAACUGUUUCCUCAAUCAACAGGCCAUAGGAGACCUGCCUUUUUAUUUAGUUUUAUUAUAUAUAUUUUUGAAUUGCAUUCUGGCUUGUAUCUAAUAACAUGUCCCUGUUUCUUUGUUUACGGGUCCCUAUGUACGUUAUUGAGCAAAAAAUAAAGAUUUUGUACAGUGAAAAGAGAGUCGUGGUCUGUCAACCUUUAUCUAUGUGUCCAACAAACGCCCCUUGGCAGUCAAGCCUUUAAGAUAGGAAUUCAGGUCAUUUCAACGCAUGGGCAUUUAUGCAAUUACACAUUGUUGUGACUUUAAUUGUUUCACACAAAUUCACAUUAAAAACAUAAUUUUUCAUGUGAAACCAGU